rnacentral:rRNA from 1 species
GACGAACGCUGGCGGCGUGCUUAACACAUGCAAGUCGAACGGAAAGGCCCUGUUUUUUUGGGUUUCCGGAUGGCGGAAGGCGGAAGAAUAAGGUAUGUAACCUCCCCUUUAUUUUGGGAGACCUUAAGGAAACGGGGCUUAUUACAGGACAGAAUACCCUCUUCCAUGGGGGGGAUGGGAAAUUUAAGCCGUUGGGGGAUGGAUCGGCGGAUUACCGGUUUGUUGGUGGGUUGGUGGCUUACCAAGGCUGUGACGGGUAGCCGACUGGGGAGGGUGACCGGCCACAUUGGGACUGAGAUACGGCGCAGACUGCUACGGGAGGCAGUAGUGGGGAGUAUUGCACAAUGGGCGCACGCCUGAUGCAGCAGCGCCGCGUGCGGGAUGACGGCCUUCUGGUUGAAAACCGCUUUAGCCUGUGACGAAGCGUGAGUGACGGUAAUGGAUAAAGAAGCACCGGCUAACUACGUG